rnacentral:lncRNA from 1 species
CGCUGAGGGGGGGAGGGCAGCGACCGGCCCCGCGCCUCGGACCACCGGCUCUGGCCGCGGCAAGGCACCUCCGCCUCCUCCACGCGGAAAAAUCCUGCUCUGCCCGAGAAUGAGCCGCGUUUCCCGCUAAAGAUGCCUGUGUUUCUCCGGUGCUUACAUAGCGAGCCUGCUAGACUUCAGGACUUUGCUAAUCACCUCCAUCCUCUCUCAGCCUCAAAGAGAAGUUUCAGAGUGGAAUAUGGAUGCUACGUGUGACCUAAGUGACUAUUAUCAUCUGCUUCACCUACUUGUGUGACUUUAAAUAGUUAAACAAACAAAAAGAUAAUAACAGGCAUCUGAAAGAAAUAAUAAUUAUAAUGGAAAGAAUAUUCAUUGCCAUUCCUGGUGAUACUGGCAUGACAUUUUAUGGUCUUUAUACAUCUUUCAAAAUGGUUUGCGAU